UGCUCAGUUUUGUUCAUUCUAUUUUUCUGUGAGUUUCUUCAUGGUAUCAAAGCAAGUGGAGACCAUUUAACCAAUUGGUUGUGUCUCCGUCUCAUCACUUGGACAUUCACUUAAAAGUUUGUCAGUAGAGAGAGCAUGAAUUUUGUCAUGCAUUUCCCUUAACCCUAUAGACGACCUUUCUAUUACCCUGAUCAAAUUUAUGGUUAUAUUCCUUGGUUUGUAAUUUUCUAUUUCAUUUGAGCUUCACCUGUAACUCAGACUAGUAAUGUAGUCAAAUGGUUAGUUUAUUUUUCCCUUGAACUUCAUAAAUUUGAAGAGCAAUAUAUUAAGGUAAUUAUAUAAACAAAAUGUAAGCUAAUUGUAUCUACUUUUUUUUAUAACAGAAGAAAAUCAAAAUUCUUGUAGUGCAUACUUUUUUUAUUUAUGUAGAAUACAGAUCUGAUUUCUACAAUUUGAUUUUACUUAUCAUAUCAGGCAAAUCAUCGAUUCAUGACAAACAUGCAAAGACGUAUAUACGGCCAUGCAACUGAUGUUGCAAUUCGCCCUUUGAAUGAGGAAAAAGCUGUCCAAGCUGCUGCAGAUCUUCUUGGGGAACUCUUUGUAUUUACGGUAGUAUAUAUAAUACCAACCACCUUAGGAAGGGAAACGCAAAUUUUGGCAAUUGAUCAUGCAGGGACACUGAAGAACCAAAUUAAAGUUAGUUGGAGUGGACACAGAGAAGGAGUGUUUUGUCCCAUUUACAGGUAGAAACGUAAGAAAAAUAACUUCCUUCCUAGUAUACUAAUGAUGUAAUGUGCUUGUAGAAGAAACAUAAAUGAAAGCAUAGCCCUUAAAAAAAUUUCGUUCCAUCUGACAAUGUUUCUUGCCUUCUUAUUUGCAUAAUUUCAUCAACAUGCUUAUUGCACUUUACAGACCAGGAGUAGGCUGACUGGCUGACCAUCAUCAUACCCAGGGCCGGCCUUACCCUUUGGCAAUUGAGACGGUGGCCUUAGGCCCCGUUUUCCUUGAAGGCCAUAAUUUAUUUAUUUAUUUAUUUGUGUGUGUGUGUGUGUGCGCGCGCGCGCGCAUGUGUGUGUGUGUGCACACGCGCAAUUAAGAUGAUAAUAAUGAAAUUAUAUUGAAUGCCCAUUUAAGGUACAUUUAUUUUUCUUCACCUAUUUUGUGUGUGUGUUUUUCUCUUCUCUUCACAAGGGGUGUAAGCGAUUUAGUUUGGUUUUGUUGGGGUUAAAGAAAAUUUAGCACCAAACUAGAUCCUUCAAUUUUAUUCAUUGAGAAACUGGAAUGAUCACAUUCAGUUUUGUUAGUUUUCAAUUUUGCAAAAAGUAAUGGAAUCUCACAUAAAAAAAAAAUGAAAGGAGAAUGUGGAGAUGCUCUAUAAAAGUCUUCCCUUUUAUGAAUUAAAAAAGACACAUUGGAAAAGCUUACAAAAGAUUAAUUAGUAAUUUUGCAUCACAAAAAAAUUAAAAAAACUCAAAACAAACAAAAUGUAAUAUUAAAAAAAAAAAUCAUUAUUAACAUUUAAGAAAUAAAAGGUCUCAAUUUAAAAUUUUGCCUUAGGCCCCCAAAAGUGUUGGCCCGCCCCUGAUCAUACCUUAUGCAUGUCGAUGGGAUUACAUUUUUGGAAAAUUAAGGAGGCUUUUUAACAAUUUUUUUUUCAUAAUCUCACAAUUAAGUUUACCUAUAUUUUGUUUUUGAGUUCUCUUCAGGCAAUUUAGAAAUGUUGGCUGGUUGAAUUAUCUGACAGUCGCCUAGGUAUUGCAUUAGACAUAUUCAGCAGUGGUUCUGAUCCUUAUUUGUUCCUAGGUGGCACUUAGUAUGGUUGCAGGGGCUGCUGUCAUAUUUGAGGUGCAAAGAAGUUCUAGAUCAGAAGCUAGGAAGGAGGAACUGGGGAAAGAAGAAAUGCAGGUUAAUUGGAAUAUCCUGUUCUUUAGAACUUUCGUGGACCCUUUUUUUUUCAUAUUACUUUAAUUGACCUUCCUACUUCUUUGAGCAAACAGUUGAUGGGCUUUCUGAUUGAACUAAUGUUUAUACGAGUAUUUAUCUUUCUUGUAACAUGUCAUGGUAUUUUGCAAAGUCCUGCCCAUUACCUCUUUACUUCGAUGAUCAAUAAUAAACAUAAAAUUGCACCAGCUUAUGGUGCAUCAAAAUUGCAUGAAGAUAUCUUUAAAAUUGGCAUAAGCUUGACAGAACAUCCCCGAGAUAGCUGAAUUCUACCACCAGAAGACAUGAUAGUGAAAGAAGAUAAGAAGAGUAGAAGGGUAAUGGAGGUCGCUAAGAAAAAUAAAUUUCAUUAAUGUCAUUGGCAGUGUUGUUUGUUGCUAAACUAUUUUAUUGUUAGUGCUGGCUGCUUUACUAGUUUUAUUUUUGUCUAUUCAUUUGGAGGCAUUGGUUUUUCAGCUCAAUGUUACAUCUUAAACACAGGUACUCUGACAGUAUUUUUAUCCAAGUUGAUGUAAUUAACAAGUUCAGCUUAUUUUCCGUAAGUCUGAGACUGUCACUUAUGUCGCUGUCAUGAUAGGCAAUGAAGCAACGAGAUGAAGAUCUAGCAAGAGAAGUGGAAAUUUUAAAGCAGAAAAUUGCAGAGGUGGAGCAACUAGCAAAAGGGCAAGGACUUGGUGGUAUGUUCAACUUCAGGCAUGCUCACAGUGCCGGAGAUGGACA